rnacentral:rRNA from 1 species
AGUGAACGCUGGCGGUAGGCCUAACACAUGCAAGUCGAACGGCAGCACAGUAAGAGCUUGCUCUUACGGGUGGCGAGUGGCGGACGGGUGAGGAAUACAUCGGAAUCUACUUUUUCGUGGGGGAUAACGUAGGGAAACUUACGCUAAUACCGCAUACGACCUACGGGUGAAAGCAGGGGAUCUUCGGACCUUGCGCGAUUGAAUGAGCCGAUGUCGGAUUAGCUAGUUGGCGGGGUAAAGGCCCACCAAGGCGACGAUCCGUAGCUGGUCUGAGAGGAUGGUCAGCCACACUGGAACGGAGACACGGUCCAGACUCCUACGGGAGGCAGCAGUGGGGAAUAUUGGACAAUGGGCGCAAGCCUGAUCCAGCCAUACCGCGUGGGUGAAGAAGGCCUUCGGGUUGUAAAGCCCUUUUGUUGGGAAAGAAAAGCAGCAGGUUAAUACCCCGCUGUUCUGACGGUACCCAAAGAAUAAGCACCGGCUAACUUCGUG